AGAUCGAUGGGGCUUCACAGAGGUGGCCCAGUUGUGCCAGAGGGCCAGACUUUGGCGGUAUGUGAGGUCUGAGGACAGGGGCACUGGAGGCAAAGGACGAGACACCAGUGCCUGUUUCCAGGCAGCCAGGGCCUCAGAAACUCCGGCACCAACACUCAACAGUCCGUAGAGGCCAUUACCAGGGCCACCUUAUUUGUGAGUGGGUCCCGGCGGGUCAUCCCGGAGCUGGCCAUCCGCACCAACUUCCAUGCCCGGGCACAGAGGCCUAGCUGCCCCGCCUUGUGCAUGGCUCAGACCAGCAA
rnacentral:antisense_RNA from 1 species